GGACUACAGGGGUAUCUAAUCCCGUUUGCUCCCCUGGCUUUCGCGCCUCAGCGUCAGAAGAGGUCCAGCAGCUCGCUUUCGCCACCGGCGUUCCUUCCGAUAUCAACGCAUUUCACCGCUCCACCGGAAGUUCCAGCUGCCCCUACCUCCCUCCAGCCCCCCAGUAUCCAAGGCCCUUUUCCGGUUAAGCCGAAAGAUUUCACCCCGGACUUGGGAGACCGCCUACGCGCCCUUUAAGCCCAGUGAUUCCGAACAACGUUCGCACGGUUCGUCUUACCGCGGCGGCUGGCAC
rnacentral:rRNA from 3 species